rnacentral:rRNA from 1 species
AUUGAACGCUGGCGGCAGGCCUAACACAUGCAAGUCGAGCGAGCGGAGGACGGGUGAGUAAUGUAUGGGGACUGCCCGAUAGAGGGGGAUAACUACUGGAAACGGUAGCUAAUACCGCAUACUAUCGGAUAACCCAUAUGGGAGUAGCUAGUAGGUGAGGUAAUGGCUCACCUAGGCGACGAUCCCUAGCUGGGCUGAGAGGAUGAUCAGCCACACUGGGACUGAGACACGGCCCAGACUCCUACGGAGGCAGCAGUGGGGAAUAUUGCACAAUGGGCGAAAGUCUGAUGCAGCCAUGCCGCGUGUAUGAAGAAGGCCUUCGGGUUGUAAAGUACUGUCAGUCGGGAGGCGUUACCGACAGAAGAAGCACCGGCUAACUCCGUGCCAGCAGCCGCGGUAAUUC